UGUGUAGGUGGCGCGCUAAGUCGGGUGUGAAAUUUCGGAGCUUAACUCCGAAACUGCAUUCGAUACUGGCGUGCUUGAGGACUGGAGAGGAGACUGGAAUUCAUGGUGUAGCAGUGAAAUGCGUAGAGAUCAUGAGGAAGGCCAGUGGCGAAGGCGGGUCUCUGGACAGUUCCUGACACUGAGACACGAAGGCCAGGGGAGCAAACG
rnacentral:rRNA from 1 species